GACGAACGCUGGCGGCGUGCUUAACACAUGCAAGUCGAACGGAAAGGCCCUGCUCUUGUGGGGUGCUCGAGUGGCGAACGGGUGAGUAACACGCGAGUAACCUGCCCUUGACUUUGGGAUAACUUCAGGAAACUGGGGCUAAUACCGGAUAGGAGCUCCUGCUGCAUGGUGGGCGUUGGAAAGUUUCGGCGGUUGGGGAUGGACUCGCGGCUUAUCAGCUUGUUGGUGGGGUAGUGGCUUACCAAGGCUUUGACGGGUAGCCGGCCUGAGAGGGUGACCGGCGACAUGGGGACUGAGGUAGGGCCCAGAAUCCAACGGGAGGCAGCAGUGGGGAAUAUUGCACAGUGGGGGGAAGCCUGAUGCAGCGACGCCGGGUGCGGGAUGACGGCCUUCGGGUUGUGAACCGCUUUCGCCUGUGACGAAGAGUGAGUGACGGUAAUGGGUAAAGAAGCACCGGCUAACUACGUG
rnacentral:rRNA from 1 species